rnacentral:lncRNA from 1 species
GCGCGCGCGACACGAGACCCGGCGCCGCUUCGCCGACUCGCGCGCGCGCAUCGAGCGAGCGCAUCGACGCGCGAACGCGCACGCAUCGCGCGCGGACGUCGUCGCGUCGCGCGUCCGACCGUCCGGCGCGGAGUCAACGGUUUUCAUCCGUCCGUCGGCGCGGCGCUCAAGUGCUUUUUCCCCCUCACUCAUCGCGCGCUGACAUCGUCCGUCCGCGCGCGAUGGGGUGCGGCGCGUCCACGCCGCGGUCGAUGCUGUACCCGCGCGCGCCGCG